GCGGGAGUCGCCAAGCCCGGUCAACGGCGCAGGGUUUAGGUCCCUGUCUCUUAGGGGUUCGUGGGUUCGAAUCCCACCUUCCGCACCA
rnacentral:tRNA from 3 species